AAUGAACGCUGGCGGCAUGCCUUACACAUGCAAGUCGAACGGCAGCAUGACCUAGCUUGCUAGGUUGAUGGCGAGUGGCGAACGGGUGAGUAAUGCAUCGGAACGUGCCUUUUAGUGGGGGAUAACGUAGCGAAAGUUACGCUAAUACCGCAUAUUCUCUGAGGAGGAAAGCAGGGGACCUUCGGGCCUUGCGCUAGAAGAGCGGCCGAUGUCGGAUUAGCUAGUUGGUGAGGUAAAGGCUCACCAAGGCAACGAUCCGUAGCGGGUCUGAGAGGAUGAUCCGCCACACUGGGACUGAGACACGGCCCAGACUCCUACGGGAGGCAGCAGUGGGGAAUCUUGGACAAUGGGCGCAAGCCUGAUCCAGCCAUGCCGCGUGAGUGAAGAAGGCCUUCGGGUUGUAAAGCUCUUUCGGCUGGGAAGAAAUCGCACCCUCUAAUACAGGGUGUGGAUGACGGUACCAGCAUAAGAAGCACCGGCUAACUACGUG
rnacentral:rRNA from 1 species